rfam:Jatropha curcas cultivar GZQX0401 scaffold211_6, whole genome shotgun sequence.
AGGCAACCUCUUUGCAGAAAAUUCAAUGGCGAAGAAGGUGUUAAACUGCUCGUAUAUUGAAUGGCUUUUGCUCUUCAGACUUGCUGAGAUUUUUCAUUGAAGCCGGUCUAGUAAGCCUUGGCACAUU